CUCCUCUCCUUUCCUCUCCAUUACCUUGUUUCUUUCCCCUAAGUCCCUUCCCUCCUUUUUCCCCUUUCUACUUUCUUGAUUCACCCUUUCCCACUCUUCUUUCUUUCAUUUUAACUUGAGCUGGUUUCACUCAGUUACAGAGUUUACUUGUCCUCCACAUGAUCAUUGUCCAGGUUCUUGAAUGUUUAUUUCCAAGACAUCUAUAGCUUUUAGACCUUAGAGAUUGGCUUUUCGAGCCAUGUAAUGGGGACAUUAUGCUAGAAGAAGCCAAGUGCAAAGCUGUGGAAUUUUUCUUCCAUUUGAGAAAUUAGAAAAAAUAAUAAUUAAAUCCCAGGAAUUUUGGAAAUGAAUGUUCUCAUUAAAUACUUAGUAUAUAGCUAUUAGUCUUGUAAGUUUUUUCCCAUAUUAUGUUAGUCAGCUUUCUGAGACUGUUACUAAAUACUUGAGAGAUUCAAUUUAAAAGGAGAAAAUGUUUAUUUUUGUUCACAGUUUUAGAAGGUUCAGUACACAGUCAUGUGUUGUCAUUGUUUCUGCGCCUGGGGUGAACUCUAUCUGUUGAGCUUUCUGGUAUAGGAGGAUUUCAUGGACUGUAUCUGCAAAAUUAGUAGUAUAAAUUAAUGUACACAGACCAUAGCUUUUUUUCAAUUGCACAUUUAUUUUUCUUUGAACAUAUUUGGUUAUUAUGUUUUACCACAAUGUUUUAUUCACUUCUGAGAAAAUAAAAACCUCUGAUAUAAUCAGAAGAAACAACUGAGAGGAUAUAUUUGAAUAAGCAUUGAUUCUUUGACUAAGAAGAUGCUACAUAGUAAAUUAAUUUAUUUUAUGUAUUCAGUGAUACCUUGUGGAUCUUUAGAAGCAAACUUAUUUUGAGCAUACGCUUGUCUUCUUCUAUUUCAUCAACUAAUUCAACUUCAUUUACUUGUAAUGGUCAGUUAGGCAGAUCAUACAACAUUUAACAUUUUUGUUUGUUUCCAAAAGGUUGAUUUUCUGUAGUAAUGUUCCUUAAUUGCUGUAUGUAGAAUUCUUUGUAGGGUAUUUGUAAAUGUCUUGUUUAUUGUAAAUUUUUCAGUUCACUCUAAUAAAAUUACAAAUAGUGAAAACAAUUGUAUUUUGCCUACCAUAGCUGCAAAAUAAUUUCUGCAUUUUUACUAAUUCUCUACAAUCUCAACCCCAAAUUAUAGCAAUUUCAUAAGCACUUGAAAAAUUAUUGUGUUUAUUGGAUUAUUUGCAGGUGGAGCUCUGUUCUUAGUCUACAAAUCAGUGGUUAAUUUAAUGAUGCACUAGUUUAUAUUUAGCAAAAUGAAGCACAACAAGCUCAGCUGAAAAACGAUUCUUGUUUUAACCAGUAGCUUCACACAGCUGUUUAAAUAUCAUAUUGUACUUGUUUUUUUCCCCCUUUCCUUAUUUAGGAUGGCACAUGGUACUUGUGUAAUCUUUGCUUAUUUUAAGCUGGCAUAGAAGAAUGGUUCCUAGCAAAUGGGAGGCAAUUUGCAAAACUGAAGGAUGUUCUCACGAAUUCAGGCUGAGUUCAAUUAUUAUUGAAGAAUACAUCUUUCUCUCCUCUAUAUUCUCCUGCAGACUUUUUCAUUAAAAUGUUAUAUUUCAAAGUUUAUGACAAGAGUACUAUUUUCAUUUAUUCCAUCUAAUUUUCUUUCCUGUGUAUGAGGAUACUAUUAAAGUAAGAUUGGUUAGGAAAAGUCAGGUGUUUUAAAAUCAUAGUAGUUCACUCUUAUCAAUUUUAUAAUACUUCUGGCUUCGUUUUUUUGUUUCCUUAUACACAUGUAAAGGCUGAUGCAAAAGAUGUAACAUUAAAAUGGAAAGUUUGAAGACUCUCUAUUAGGUACUUUUAAAAGAAUUCCUAUUGCAUUUCCAUAUCCUUAUAUAGAUGCCUAAAUCAAAAAUAAGACUCAAUUUCUAUUUUUUGUUCUAUGUCAAUUAAAAUGUUUUUGUUAGAUUUUUAAAUUUAUUUAACUUUUUCAUUUAUUUAAGUUUCAUAUGUUCAUGAAGUAUAUGUUAAUAUUUUCUGUUAGUAACAUUUUGUCACAAUGUGUCUGUGAAGCAGAACACUACCAUGGUUAUAUAUUACAUCUACUUUUUGGUAUGGGGCUGUUUCCUCUAUAUUGCAUGUUUUAAGAAAAUAGUCUUGUAGGCAGCAAAUAAAACUGAGAUUCUCUAUAGAGAUAAAUGAAUGUAGAAAAAGUUUAAGAGACUUAGUUGAAAUAUCAAUGUAAUAGUUUUACUUCUGUGAAACAAUUCAUUUAACAUCUCUGUUUUUAAAAAUGUGUAGGGUUUCUUUAAAUAUUCAAUUAUAUCAUAUAUAUUUAUUCUGAUUAUCUUAGUAUGAGAGCUGAGUAGGGUGAUUUGCACUGUUUUUUAAAUAGAGCUUUCAUGUGAUUUUCUUAUUACUGAACUUAAACCUAAUUACAUAAAGUUAUCUCAUGAAUCAGGAAAAUUUGUACUAAGAUAACCAUCUCUAAGAAAGUUAGAAAUAGAAUGGCAACAUACAGAAAACAAUUUCCAGUAAGAAAAUAAACCUGUUGAAGAAUAAAGACAUAUUUUAUAAAUUAUGUAUAUGAUAAAAAUUGUAAGGAUGUUAGGCUAGAAAAUUAUUGAAUUAAUACAUAAUAUUGUAUGCUUGCUUGUACAGUAUUUUAGAAUGAUAUGUUAUUUUUAUAAAAAGCUAAAUUUUAUUAUUUGUAAUUGAAUUUUACUUUUGGUGGUUCUGGGGAUCAAAUUGAAGCCCUAAAGCAUGCUAAGCAAGCUCUCUACCACUGAGCUACAUACUCAACCCCAGGUUAGACUUUACAUAUUGUAUAUAGUAUGCAUAAUAUUGGGAAGUAAGGUUAUUCUGGAACUUUCUAUAUUUUUAUCUAAUAUGGGUAGAUAAUCAUAAUUGUUUACUGUUUGUAUUUUAGGUAUAGGACAAGCAACCAUACUUAGAGCAAAGUUCAGGACUAAAAUCUCUCAGUAAAACUUGAUGGUAAUGGAACCAAAAAUCAAAACUCGACAACUUGAUGGACCAGGAGAUCUCUCAAAAAAAUAUUUGUGAAAUCCAUAGAGAACCAAGUAAGUUUCUGCAAAUGAUUGCUGUGUUUCCUGUUUUACAAAUUCACAAAGAAAUUUAGGAAACCCUUAUUUUUGGGGUGUUUAAUAUUUGACAACUGUCCAGUUAGUUUUGUGCAGUUUGUUUGUUGUGCCAUUGUUAUUUGUGACAAAUGGAGCUGGUGUAUGAUUAAAAAAAAAAGGACAAUUGACCUUAUUCCCUCACAAAUAUGAAGGUAGUUUUGUGUAAUAAAAACCAGGAUGUCUUGACUUUGCAUAGUCAUGAUCAUAGAAAUUCUCAAAACAUUUCAUAAACAUUAAAAUUAUGCAGAAAUAAUUAACUGAGAUUUUCUGUUUCCAAAUUUUGAAUGUAUGUACAUAAAUAAAAAUUUGAAUUAUGAGAUUGAGUUUUUAAAUUUCAAAACAGUACAUUGAAGAAUGGCCUGUAGACAUUCCGUCAAAGACAAAAGCCAAGGGUUCAUUACUUUAGUUUUUAAUGUGUUUUUUUUUUUCUUUUGCAGGAAGGAGAAUACUUCCUAGUAAUUCCUAUAUGAAUUGCUAAUUUUUGUUCAUAGAUAUAAUGAUGAAAUGAUUUGUAAAUAGUAAACACUUUUUUGAUUUUUUAGAUUCUUUAUUCCCCUUAGAGGAAAUAAAUAAUUGAAGAAUUGAGGACCUUUAGAUCAGAACACGGCAGUUAAAGGGAUAAAACAGUCUUCUAUACAGCUUUGUCCUAGAGAUAUGUACAGUUUCAGAAUUUCAGAUGAUACUCAUAUAAGGCCCUCAUUUGUUGUUUAGAAUUUCAAAGGUGAGAAGGAUUAGUAUUAUGAGCUGAAUCAAAACUAGUGUGAUACGAUUAUUUUAAGAUCAAAAUGCACUGAAUAUGUUAUUGAGGGUUUGGUCUACUGAAGUCUAGAGUACAACUAAGUGUGUUGCAGCUGUAAUAAUUACCUCAGAAAUGAGUCAUAUUAGGAAAACUCCCAAUCUGUUUUAUGCCACACAUUUCUAAUAUAGUAAUUUUUGGUGGCUAGAGCUUGAAUUAAUCAAAUUAAAAGUGCUGGGUUAUAAAGAUUUUGGCUGUUGUCAUAAUCUCUAUCAUGGAAGUCUAAAAACUACAUUUAAUUUCAUCAGUAGGUAUUAGUUAUUUUUGUUUUUUCUAUAGUUAUUUCUCAUGCUAGAUUUCUUAAAUAGAAAUUUUUAUCUAGAAAAUACUAAUUAUAGUUCUACCCUGUGAAAAGCAAUAUUUUAGAUUCUAUAUUUAUGGCAAUAAGACAGACAAGGAUUGUGUUCAUAUGAAACUUAGAUUGUGGUUCUCAGGUCAGGGAGCCAAUUCAACAAGUAAAUAAAUGACAAAAAUACCAAGAAUGCUGAAGAGAAGUUAUACAAGGAUGAUUGAGUCGUCAAAGAAGUCUUUUUAAUGAAAGCCAUUUAAAUUGAGAACUGAUGACAAAAAACAAAAUGUAAACAUUUGGGGCAAGAGCAUUUCAGUGAAGAGUUUCUAAGAUGUGCCCAGGGAAAAAAAACAAGACUGAUAAUACUUAUGAGCAUGUAGAGUGCAACCCGAGAAGCUGGUGGAGAUCUAGCUGACAGAAGUCUGUGAGCCUGAAUAAGGGGGUAGAAUAUCCGUCUAAUGUGUUAGGAGGCAUUGGAAGGUUUUCAGACUGGAAAUGGACAUGACCUAAUUUACACUAAAAAAUACUUUGAUUAUCAGCUUACUUUGUAGCAGCAGGAACCAAGACAAUGUGAUAUUGUUAGAGGCAAAGACACAUACAUCAGUGGUACAGGAUGUGGAACUCAGGAAUGAAUCUACAGAGUUAUGGCCAACUCAGAUUUUGACAAAGGUGCAAAAGCAGUUCAAUAGAGGAAAGAUAGCCAUUGCAGCAAAUGGUGCUGGAACAAUUGGACAUUCAUAGGUAAAAUAAUGAACCUAACCUAAACCACACAUCUACAAAAUGCAGAUCAAAAGGGGUCAUGAGCUUUAAUAAAAAACAUAUUAAAAUGUAACUAUUUUAGAAAAAAAUUAGAAUAUGGUCUUCAGGAUCUAAACUCAACAAGGAAUUCUGACUUAAUGCCAAAAGAA